UUGCUUUUACAACUUUCAGGUAAAGCUUGUCAGAAUUUGUUACCUGGAAUUCAAUUCAUAUUAUUGCUCUAAGUAAGCUAUAUCUGAAGCAUCUAUUCAUUGAGCACCUGAAAUGUUGAAUAAAGUUACAUUCCUGCCUCUGUUUCUAAUAUAUUCAGGAUGUAAAUGAAGAUGACUGGAGAUUAUUAGGUAUUUCUUCAUCGGAGGUGCAAUGCCUUCUGCAAAUCUGUUACUUUAUUUCCAGGAUGGUGUUUCCGUUGCAGAUCAUUGGCUUGUGAAUGGGAAACAUUAUUCAUAGACAAGGUGAAGACGAAAAACUCUGCAAUUGUGCUAAUAAAAAUAGACUUGGUUAAGAGGCUUUACUUCCUGGGAAAAAGUGCAGAACUUGCCAAAUCAACUACUCUGUGUGUGGUUGCCAUGGAUCAUCUCAUUCGUCAAGAUACAUUGAAAUCUCGCGAUGAGGAGUGGCUCAAAAGAAUGGACCAGUACUUGGCUUCCAUUAAGCCAAUAAAGGAUUCCACCUAUGGUAAAGAUCAAGCUGUUAAAUGGACCUUCUACAGGAGAACAUUCUUCAUUGCUGUUGCAGAACUCUUUGCAUAGAACAAUGGAGAAGGGUGGAUGGUUGCACAUUUCCUAUUUAAGAAAAAAUGAAGGAUUCCUAGCUCCUUUUCAGCAGAAAAUACUAUGGUGGAAGAGGUGGUGCUGUGAAUCUCGUUGUCAAAGUCAAUAAAGCCUUCAUGAUAUGGUCUAAGCGAAUCUGUCGAUUGAAUAAGGAGGAUGUAUUUUAGCAUUUCGAAAGUGUAACCCGUCAUCAGGUGAAUAACAGUAUUCUUAUAUCACAAGUACAGUUGCAAUUGGGCUCCCAGAAUCAAUGUCAGGAACUGCUUUAUGGCCAGCUAUGAUCCAAGUUUCUCAGUUCAAUUAAAAUUUCCUUCUUUGAUUUCAGUUUUCAAUGCUAUAUUAGGAAUUGCUUGCUAUUAUCUGAGUAUCUGGUGGAAUAAAACCAUAUGUAUAGUGCAGGUGGUGGAACUGGACAAGGGUGAAGUCAUGUUCAGUCACCAUGUAACUUUGAGCUUAGUAUGCGCACCGUGUUGCCAAACAUAGCACGUGAUAGAAAAAAUAGCUUUUGCAAGCAUUGUAAUGCAAGCAGAUAUAUUCUGUCAAAUAGAUUCAAAAUCCUCUUGCAGUGUAAUAAAUGGGUUUGCCA